GCUCUUAUAGUUUAAAGGUAGAACAACUGACCUGUAAUCAGUAAAUCUUGGUUCAAUUCCAAGUGAGAGCU
rnacentral:tRNA from 1 species